AAGGAGAUGAGCAAGAAGUGCAAUUCCUUGGCGUCCAAAAGCCAAAUGAUCGUCCGCCUUUUUCAGAAUUCUUUACCUUCCCACAGUAUUAUCACCGAGGUCCACUACAGCUCAUGAGUCUACGGUGGCCACCAUGGCGGAGCUACCGCUGCUCGAGUGCAGGUUGAGCAGUAUCGCAGCUGACAUAGAAGUGACAAUGGUGGAGAGCCAUGCAAGCCUCAAAGUAAGAUCCCAAAGGCUCCCAAAGCAGCUCUUGAAAAUUGUUUUUGGGUUGCUGAUAUGCACCUCACCGUUCUCCAUCUCAAUGUUAUCACCGCUGAUGAUAUUGUGCUCUAUUCUCUCAGCCUCAAGUGGAUGAAAUUGCAACAGCUGUGCAUGAGAUGCUGGCUAGGAUUCAAGAAGAAGCAAUGCUGGAUUUGAACUGAUCAUCAAAACCGAGCUUUUAAUUAAUCAAUUGCCUUUUUUUCUUUCUAAAUUUAAUUAUACCCUAUGAUGUGAUAGACUCAUACUUGGGUGUUUCUUCUCUGGUUGUAGACUGCUACCAAGUCAUUCGGUUAAUGUUUUCCUUAAUU